UGGGGAAUUUUGCGCAAUGGACGAAAGUCUGACGCAGCGACGCCGCGUGUGCGAUGAAGGCCUUUGGGUCGUAAAGCACUGUCGACCGGGACGAAAACUCACGGACUAAUACUUCGUGAGUCUGACGGUACUGGUAAAGGAAGCACCGGCUAACUCUGUGCCAGCAGCCGCGGUAAUACAGAGGCCCCAAGCGUUAUCCGGAAUCACUGGGCGUAAAGGGUGUCGAGGCGGUCAUGUUAGUCGUUCGUAAAAUCCGUGGGCUCAACCUACGGCCGGCGAGCGAAACGGCAUGACUUGAGGUUUGGAGAGGUGCGUGGAACUCACGGUGUAGGGGUGAAAUCCGUUGAUAUCGUGGGGAACACCAAAGGCGAAGGCAGCGCACUGGCCAAAAUCUGACGCUCACACACGAAAGCUAGGGUAGCGAACGGGAUUAGAUACCCCCGUAGUCCCUGAGCGGGCUGGCAAGGCGCAU
rnacentral:rRNA from 1 species